rnacentral:rRNA from 1 species
CCUACGGGAGGCAGCAGUGAGGAAUAUUGGUCAAUGGACGAGAGUCUGAACCAGCCAAGUAGCGUGAAGGAUGACUGCCCUAUGGGUUGUAAACUUCUUUUAUAAAGGAAUAAAACGAGGCACGUGUGCCUUUUUGCAUGUACUUUAUGAAUAAGGAUCGGCUAACUCCGUGCCAGCAGCCGCGGUAAUACGGAGGAUCCGAGCGUUACCCGGAUUUGUUGGGUUUAAAGGGAGCGUAGGUGGGUUGUUAAGUCAGUUGUGAAAGUUUGCGGCUCAACCGUAAAAUUGCAAUUGAUACUGGCAGUCUUGAGUACAGUAGAGGUAGGCGGAAUUCGUGGUGUAGCGGUGAAAUGCUUAGAUAUCAGGAAGAACCCCGAUGGCGAAGGCAGCUUACUAAACUGUGACUGACAUUGAUGCUCGAAAGUGUGGGUAUCAAACAGGAUUAGAUACCCCAGUAGUC